rnacentral:rRNA from 1 species
CCCAGACUCCUACGGGAGGCAGCAGUGGGGAAUAUUGCACAAUGGGGGGAACCCUGAUGCAGCGACGCCGCGUGAGUGAAGAAGUAUUUCGGUAUGUAAAGCUCUGUCAGCAGGGAAGAAGAAAGACGGUACCUGACCAAGAAGCCCCGGCUAACUACGUGCCAGCAGCCGCGGUAAUACGUAGGGGGCAAGCGUUAUCCGGAUUUACUGGGUGUAAAGGGAGCGUAGACGGCAGUGCAAGUCUGGAGUGAAAGGCGGGGGCUCAACCCCCGGACUGCUCUGGAAACUGUACGGCUGGAGUGCAGGAGAGGUAAGUGGAAUUCCUGGUGUAGCGGUGAAAUGCGUAGAUAUUAGGAGGAACACCAGUGGCGAAGGCGGCUUACUGGACUGUAACUGACGUUGUGGCUCGAAAGCGUGGGGAGCAAACAGGAUUAGAUACCCGCGUAU